rnacentral:rRNA from 1 species
GACGCACCGUGCGAACGUUGUUCGGAAUUACUGGGCGUAAAGGGCGCGCAGGCGGUCGUAUAAGUCGAAUGUGAAAGCCCCCGGCUCAACUGGGGAGGGUCAUUCGAUACUGUUCGACUCGAAGGCAGGAGAGGGAAGUGGAAUUCCGGGUGUAGUGGUGAAAUGCGUAGAUAUCCGGAGGAACACCAGUGGCGAAGGCGACUUUCUGGCCUGUUCUUGACGCUGAGGCGCGAAAGCUAGGGGAGCAAACGGG